rnacentral:rRNA from 1 species
AUUGAACGCUGGCGGCAUGCUUUACACAUGCAAGUCGAACGGCAGCGCGGGGCAACCUGGCGGCGAGUGGCGAACGGGUGAGUAAUAUAUCGGAACGUACCCAAGAGUGGGGGAUAACGUAGCGAAAGUUACGCUAAUACCGCAUACGAUCUAAGGAUGAAAGUGGGGGAUCGCAAGACCUCAUGCUCCUGGAGCGGCCGAUAUCUGAUUAGCUAGUUGGUGAGGUAAAGGCUCACCAAGGCGACGAUCAGUAGCUGGUCUGAGAGGACGACCAGCCACACUGGGACUGAGACACGGCCCAGACUCCUACGGGAGGCAGCAGUGGGGAAUUUUGGACAAUGGGCGCAAGCCUGAUCCAGCAAUGCCGCGUGAGUGAAGAAGGCCUUCGGGUUGUAAAGCUCUUUUGUCAGGGAAGAAGCGGUUGGGGCUAAUAUCCUCGGCUAAUGACGGUACCUGAAGAAUAAGCACCGGCUAACUACGUGCCAGCAGCCGCGGUAAUACGUAGGGUGCAAGCGUUAAUCGGAAUUACUGGGCGUAAAGCGUGCGCAGGCGGUUUUGUAAGUCUGUCGUGAAAGCCCCGGGCUUAACCUGGGAAUUGCGAUGGAGACUGCAAGGCUUGAAUCUGGCAGAGGGGGGUAGAAUUCCACGUGUAGCAGUGAAAUGCGUAGAGAUGUGGAGGAACACCGAUGGCGAAGGCA